UUGAAACAGGAAAAGGACAAAUCCAAACUGUUGACACAAAAUUAGAAGAAAACUGUCCUAAAUAUAAUUAUAUGCUGGAGCAGUAAGAUUUCUCUUCAUUGGGACUAAGGGUUCAAAAACAGAUCCAGACCAAAAGUACACAAAAGUAUGUGGACAGAGGACAUGGUUACCGGGUGUGUGUCAAAUACUGAGAAGUGUUGUGCCUUCCACCCCCACACCCUGACAAUUACUGUAGCGCAGGCCUGUCCAACUGGCGGCCCGCGGGCCACAUCCGGCCCAGCAGCGGCCUCCGAGCGGCCCGGCGGACAUGAAUCUGCUGUGUGACAAAAUGAGUAAACUACAUAUACAGUGUGUGGAAGCAGCGUCUCGCUCCCUUCUCAUCUCUGCUGAGUUGCACAUGCGCAGGACCGAUCGGGCGGGAUGUUGAGCGUGAAGGCCGAUCACAUGUUUCACAGAUCCGCGUUUCCUCCUGUGAGCUCCGGCCAGCUGAGCGGCUCCUCAGCACAUCUGGCUGUCCACAGUCCCAAGCAGGACGAGCUCUGCUGAAAUGUGUCUGCCAGCCCUGAGACGUAGCUCCGUUUACCGCCGCCUGGACCGGCAAGAGUUUAUUUUACUGCCAUCUCCAAACGCCUGCUAUGUUUUAUUACAUUCACUGGCAUUUGUUUCAAAUGCGUCAUUACCAAAAACAAAACAAAUCCAUGUUUUAAACAGGCUGCUGAAAAUGUCCGGCCUAAAUCUGGCCCCUGAAGCGGCAGCUGAACAGGCCUGCUGCAGGCCCAAGUGGUACUGUGCUGCAUGCAACACGUGACCUCUGUACUUCACUUUCAAGUUCCACACUAAUAAAUUCAAUUUCACAUUGUGAUUCAGAUUCAGUUUUUAAUGCAAUUAUUCAAGUUGAGCAAUUCAAAUUCAAAUAUAAAUGAUUCAAAUUCCGUUUCUAGUGACACAUAUUUCUGCCCAAAUCAUGAUCAAAUGACUGGCCUAUAAUAAGGAAACACAACAUUCCUGAAUUUCAGAAGCUAGAGGAGUAGAAUCCAGUGUCAGCUCACUUCAGCUGAUCUUCUGCACUCAGACACAUUAGAGCAGAGUCAGAAUGCGGGAGCCACACAGAUGACACCUUAGUGAGGUGAGGAGCUUUACAUCUAUACUCAAAAGGUCUUCUUCUAAUUCAUUUUCUGUUUUAUCUUAUCAUUUUUAUUUAAUUUAUUGUCGUGUUUUUCUUCUCGUGUGUAUUUUAUUUGAUUCCUUUUUAUGUUUCUUUCUUUCGUUAUUAUUUUUGUCCAUGGCUGGAUUAACCUGCAAAGGGGCCCCAGAGCAACAUUGACCUGCUGUGCCCCCAUUAACCCCACCUCUCUCCUUUUCUUUGCUUUGUUCCCAGUGUUCCGACGAUGGAAUACAAUCUAGCUCCAGGUUCGACAAGGUUUCACAAAAUCAGCUGAAAUAAUAAAAGUGGUGAAAAUAGUUUUUUAACAUAGGGACCCACUUCAAGACAGGACCUUAAGAUCCAACUUAAAGCAGCUAUAAUCAAUAUUUUUUAUAAUAUAUCAAUGUAUCAAAUAACAUUAUGAGAAUGUGACAGGGGUCGCUCGUACUAAUGAACUGAGAGUGAAUUAUCAGCUGAAUGUGCAGCUCCCCUGGUCCUCACGGAGCUUUAUAGAGACUUUCAGACUUUCAGAACACGAGCCGCUCGGCAGCAAACAGCAGACAGGCUCAGUCAGAGAGCAGCCGGUGAACGUAGCGGAGCAUCUAGCAGCUAAAGAGCCAGAUGUUUCCCUCAGCAGCUGCUGGAGACCAAACACAGAGCUGACAGAGAGAAGACCGGACUGACGUCCAUCAGGAGACACAGACUCGCCUCCUGAUGAGGCGUCAUGUGACUCUGUAGCUGCUGGACGUGGAAAUAAGCAGCUGUUUGCUAACAAAUUCGCCAUUACAACUUAAGAGGUGAUAUGUCAGUGUUGAGUUCACUGCUUGUUCCCGCUGCCACCUAGUGGCCAAAAAAAUCAGUUAUUGCAGUUUUAAGGCUCUUAUCAUGUCAGUCAAUAUUGUGUUUUAGCGCAGCAUAUCCCCAUAUGUCCAAAUACAAAUGUGGGACUAUGCAGAAAUCCAGCUUUAGUUUUUUCUGACUGUUCAUCAUGUUGGCUUGCUUCCCAGUUGUUUGGACCUGUGGCCGAUCAGUGCUCUGUUGUUCUCUAAAUAUGAAUACAUAGCUGCCUUGUGUUAUAACUGAGGCUCUUGUGGGGGGUUCAUUGUCCUUAUUUUAAGAUGUAUAUAAUGUCAUGUUUAUAGAAAUGUUUUGCGCCUGAUGAGGAUCCGUGGCUGGUCGACACAUUGCACAGCAUCAGUGAAUCGAAAAUAAUGGUGGGAACAAGAAACACCGAUGCAAUUAUUUGCCUUUAAGUUUACUCUAAGUGACAAAAUACAUAUAGACUAAAUAUGUGACAUGAAAAUGAAUAUGAGUUCAAAUGUUUUUCCACUGAGCAAAGUAAAAGUAUAUGGCUGAAAAAUGUAGAAGGUGUUCUUCAUACUGAAUAGAUUUUGGAUUUACUUGCAUUAUCAACUGUGCAGAGGAAAACAUGAAUUUCAGUGUCCAAAAUAUAUUAUUGUCAUCAGUUUGAAUAGAAAUACAUUUUCUGGCUGUUUUGAAGCAUUUCUAUACUCAUUUGUACGCACACAGAGAUGCAAAGAUUUACAGAAACACACACACACACACGCGCGCGCACACACACACACACACACACACACACACACACA